rnacentral:rRNA from 1 species
AUGGCCGCGUCGGCGUCGGCGUCGGUCAAGCUGGGAUCAAAGCCUGACGCCUUCAGAAGGCAGGGACAGGCGUGGUUCUGCACAACAGGACUGCCCAGUGAUGUUACCGUGGAGGUUGGGGAUAUGUCUUUCCACCUUCAUAAGUUCCCUUUACUUUCCAAAAGUGCCGUUCUUGAACAGUUGAUUGAGGAGAGUUCAGACCAGGAAGAGAGCAUCAUCAAACUAAAUGAUAUCCCAGGGUGUGCAAAAUCAUUUGAGAUGGUGGCAAGAUUCUGCUAUGGAGUGAAAAUAGAACUAUCUGCUGCAAAUGUCGUCCACCUGCGUUGUGCCUCUGAGCAUCUCCAGAUGACUGAAGAAAUAUCUGAUGACAACCUGAUUGCACAGACAGAAAUGUUCCUUAACCAGGUGGUGCUUCGUAACUGGAAAGAUUCCUUGAAGGCCCUCGAAACCUGCGAUGACCUUCUCCCUCAUGCUGAAGAUCUUCAAAUUGUUAAGAGAUGCAUCGAGUCAUUAGCAUCGAAAGCAACCACUGAUCCGAACCUGUUUGGCUGGCCGAUAAGGGAACACGGCAUCAUGCAAAGCCCUGGAGGCAGUGUACUGUGGAAUGGGAUCAGCACCGGUGCCAGGCCCAGAAACUUCAGUUCAGACUGGUGGUAUGACGAUGUUUCAUCAUUGAGUUUUCCCAUGUACAAGAGAUUGCUAUCUGGCAUGGAGUCUCGACGCAUACGGCCUGAGAUCAUCGCUGGUUCUUUGGCAUACUAUGCGCGGAAGUACAUCCCAGGACUCAGUAGGCGCAACAGUAUGGGAACAAUGCCCCUGGCUGGCACUCUUUCUGAUGUAGAACAGAGGAACUUGCUUGAGGAGAUCGACAGACUAUUGCCUGUUCAGAAGGGUUUGGUGCCUACAAAACUCUUGCUCGGGCUGCUUAAAACAUCCAUGAUUCUGAAAGCCAGCUCCACCUGCAUUGCCAACUUGGAGAAGCGCGUCGGCAUGCAGCUUGACCAGGCCAGUCUGGAAGAUCUACUGCUGCCAAACUACUCUUACACCAUGGAAACACUGUACAAUGUGGAGUGCGUGCACAGGAUUCUUGAGCACUUUCUGGCAAUGGACCAAGCCAACGGCGGUUGCUCCCCGUGCAUCGAUGACAUGAUGGCGUCCCCUUCCAUGAUACCGAUCACUGCUGUUGCUAAGCUGCUUGAUGGCUAUCUUGCAGAGGUUGCACCGGAUGUCAAUCUGAAACCUCCGAAAUUCCAAGCUCUAGCAUCUGCUUUGCCUGAGUAUGCCCGGCCACUAGAUGAUGGCCUCUACCGCGCCAUUGAUGUGUACUUGAAGGCACAUUCCUGGCUAUCAGAAGGCGAACGGGAGCAGCUAUGCCGGCUGAUGGACUGCCAGAAGCUGUCCCUGGAGGCGUGCACCCACGCGGCGCAGAACGAGAGGCUGCCGCUGCGCGUGGUGGUGCAGGUCCUCUUCUUCGAGCAGCUGCAGCUGAGGACCUCGAUCGCGGGGUGCCUGCUGGUGUCGGACAACCUGGAAGGGUCCUCCAGGCCGCUGCGGAGCGGCGGGGUGGCGAUGUCCGGCGAGGCCGGGGGGUGGUCGGCGGCCGUGAGGGAGAACCAGGUGCUGAAGGUGGGCAUGGACAACAUGAGGAUGCGGCUGGCGGAGCUGGAGAAGGAGUGCUCGGACAUGCGGCAGGAGAUCGAGAAGCUGGGGCGCGGCGGCGGCGGCGGUGGCAAGAGCGGCGGCGGCUGGGCGUCCCAUGUCCCGAGGCGGUUCAGCCUGAAGAUGAAGCCGCAGAUGUGCAGCACCCAGGAGGGGUCGGUGAGCGAGCAGCAGAAGAGCAUGAGCGCCAAGCUCGACAAGCUGCAGGCCAAGCUGUCCAAGCAGAAGCGCCAGCUCUCCGCCGACGCCUGA